rnacentral:rRNA from 1 species
AGAGUUUGAUCAUGGCUCAGGAUGAACGCUAGCGGCAGGCCUAACACAUGCAAGUCGAGGGGUAGCAGAUCUAAGCUUGCUUAGAUGCUGACGACCGGCGCACGGGUGCGUAACGCGUAUGCAACCUACCUUGUACUGGGGUAUAGCCCGGAGAAAUUCGGAUUAAUCCCCCAUGGUAUUAUUGGAUCGCAUGGUUUGAUAAUUAAAGGUUACGGUACAAGAUGGGCAUGCGUCCCAUUAGCUAGUUGGUGAGGUAACGGCUCACCAAGGCGACGAUGGGUAGGGGGCCUGAGAGGGUGGUCCCCCACACUGGUACUGAGACACGGACCAGACUCCUACGGGAGGCAGCAGUGAGGAAUAUUGGUCAAUGGGCGCAAGCCUGAACCAGCCAUGCCGCGUGCAGGAAGACGGUCCUAUGGAUUGUAAACUGCUUUUAUUCGGGAAUAAACCUCUUUACGUGUAGAGAGCUGAAGGUACCGAAUGAAUAAGCACCGGCUAACUCCGUGCCAGCAGCCGCGGUAAUACGGAGGGUGCAAGCGUUAUCCGGAAUCAUUGGGUUUAAAGGGUCCGCAGGCGGAUUUAUAAGUCAGUGGUGAAAUCCCGUCGCUUAACGACGGAACUGCCAUUGAUACUGUAAGUCUUGAAUUCGAUCGAAGUGGGCGGAAUAUGACAUGUAGCGGUGAAAUGCUUAGAUAUGUCAUAGAACACCGAUAGCGAAGGCAGCUCACUAGGUCUGGAUUGACGCUCAGGGACGAAAGCGUGGGGAGCAAACAGGAUUAGAUACCCUAGUAGUCC